UACAGAGGGGGCAAGCGUUGUUCGGAAUUACUGGGCGUAAAGGGCGCGUAGGCGGCCUUCUAAGUCGAACGUGAAAUCCCCGGGCUCAACCCGGGAACUGCGUCCGAUACUGGAAAGCUUGAAUCCGGGAGAGGGAUGCGGAAUUCCAGGUGUAGCGGUGAAAUGCGUAGAUAUCUGGAGGAACACCGGUGGCGAAGGCGGCAUCCUGGACCGGCAUUGACGCUGAGGCGCGAAAGCCAGGGGAGCAAAGCGGG
rnacentral:rRNA from 1 species